rnacentral:rRNA from 1 species
AUGCAGUCGAGCGAAUCGAUGGGAGCUUGCUCCCUGAGAUUAGCGGCGGACGGGUGAGUAACACGUGGGCAACCUGCCUAUAAGACUGGGAUAACUUCGGGAAACCGGAGCUAAUACCGGAUACGUUCUUUUCUCGCAUGAGAGAAGAUGGAAAGACGGUUUUGCUGUCACUUAUAGAUGGGCCCGCGGCGCAAUAGCUAGUUGGUGAGGUAAUGGCUCACCAAGGCGACGAUGCGUAGCCGACCUGAGAGGGUGAUCGGCCACACUGGGACUGAGACACGGCCCAGACUCCUACGGGAGGCAGCAGUAGGGAAUCUUCCGCAAUGGACGAAAGUCUGACGGAGCAACGCCGCGUGAACGAAGAAAGCCUUCGGGUCGUAAAGUUCUGUUGUUAGGGAAGAACAAGUACCAGAGUAACUGCUGGUACCUUGACGGUACCUAACCAGAAAGCCACGGCUAACUACGUGCCAGCAGCCGCGGUAAUACGUAGGUGGCAAGCGUUGUCCGGAAUUAUUGGGCGUAAAGCGCGCGCAGGUGGUUCCUUAAGUCUGAUGUGAAAGCCCACGGCUCAACCGUGGAGGGUCAUUGGAAACUGGGGAACUUGAGUGCAGAAAAAGAAAGUGGAAUUCCCAGUGUAACGGUGAAAUGCGUAAAGAUUUGGAAGAACACCAGUGGCGAAAGCGACUUUCUGGUCU